CUAAGAAGCUGGAAAGUAGUUAAGUAUUAUAUAAAGUAGCUACAUCCUUUUUGAAUUUUUGAAGAGUUUUCAUCGGUCUAGCCUAGCAACGAGAAAACGGCGUCAGCGUCACAAGAAAUGAUCGCUUCAAACAUCCAUGGCAGUCUCAAGGAUAUUGAUUAUUUUGGCGUUGAUUGUUGGUUACUGUCCUUGAGUCAGAGAAGAAGCCAAUGUUUCUUUGAAAAAGCUUAAAGGGAUGCUCUUUGAAGAUGUAAAAUAUUUCAAAAAGCUAAAUGGGUGCUUUUUGGAGAUGUAAAAUUUUUCAUGUAAGUUUCCUACUUGUUGGGUUAUGUUUCUUAAAUCAAGGCUGUCACGUUCAAUCAAAAGUUGGGCGCCAACUGUUCGAAAAAAUUCUUCACAGUCUCAUCAAUCAAUUUUCCAUGUAGAGUUUGCUGUUAAUGUUCUUAAUGUUCUGGUUCUUGUUUUUGGGUUUGUAUUCUCAUAUCAUUUAUGAUUGUUGAUAAACAAUUCUUCUACCUAUUUGGUAGCUCUGGUCUCUUUAUAUGAGCAAAAUGAGAAGCCUUCUGCUGCUCUCGAGUAAGUUCUUUCCUAUGAAUUGCAGGCCCCAUUUUUAAUAUGAGUUUAGGAUUUUUUUCUUACUUUGAUUUUCUGUAGACAGUUAUUGCUCCAAUUAUGUUAAUUGAAGAUCUGGCUUCAAAUAUGUAUACUUGAUUAAUUUUUUUUGGUUAAUAUAAAUAUAUAUAUAUAUAUAUAUUAGUUUGAAAAAGACAUACAGUCAAUCUCAAUUAUUACUCUUAAGAGAGGUUACCUGGUGAGAUGGUUGUGUGAGUACUUAAGGUGGUUGUUUUUCAUUGUGACAGGUUUAUUCAACCAGCUUUCCAUUUCACAUCAAGAAAUCUGCAAAGAGGUUUGCUUGCAUUGCAAAAUCAGCUUUUUUCUCCCCUCACUUGCUGUUGCCAAUGAUUUCACAAAUAAAAAGUCAAGACCCAAUUCUCACAUAUUUUAACUUUGUCAAAGUUUGGUUGAAGUAGUAGUUACAUGAAAAGUAAUGACUUAAGUACAAUUGAGUUGUGGUUGGCUGAUGCUUAGUAUAAGAAAAUAAGGUGUACGUCUAUGGUUGGUUCUGAUCUGAAUGUGGUCCAUUUCUUAUGAUUCUUUAUUGUUUGUUACCUUGUCUAUUUUUUUACCCUACGUUAAACAUGUUAUGUCCGCAAACCUAAAUGCAGUUGGAGGAGGUUAUAAGAGUUCGUGCAAUGUAGAACCAUCUUUGACCAAGGAGUCUUCUGAUGGUGAGACUCUAAAAGAUAGGCUUUGAAGGUGACAAAGAGUUUAUUACAUUGUUAAGCAAACAAUAAUUCAUGAAUGAUAUAUGAAUUUACAUUUGGGAAGCAUUGUUCCUUAAUAGUUGCAUGAUUGUAUCUUUAUCAGGCAACAAGACCCAUUUUCUUCUCUUUUUUUUUUGGAAAAAAAAAAUUGAAGCUGGGCUCCUCGCCUUACCUACAUUAUUCGAUGAGAAUAUGCAGUGUUUAAAUGUAGUUCAUUUGAAAAUAAAUACAUUGAUUAUCACCAGUCUUUCCUUCUAAAUCUUCUCAUGGUUUAUAAUAGAUGCUUAACGACUUAUUUUGAUAUAAUUUUCCUAAUAAUGCAUUUGAUAAAAUAGAGUAAAUAAAUAGGAAGAGGAAAGAUUCCAGAGACUAUGUCCAUCAAAUUGUAUUUUAAAGCAGCAGAGAGAGGAGCUGGAAAGUGACAAUGAUGGAUUGACGCUCAGAAGCCGAUUUGAAUUAUAGAUGCUAUAUUAAACAUUAUAAAAGAAGUAGAAGCUCCGAAUGUCAUUGAAUUUGGCUAUGUGGAAACAUAUUCUGGUUUGACAUCUCAGUUAUGUGAUUUGAAAUCUGGUGAAGACUAUUUGCUCCGAGUGGAGAGUUGUAUAGAAGCUUCAACCCGAAGACACAAAGAACAUAUACAAGUAGAGCUUAACAAAACUGAUGCAAAAUUAAUGCGAAACGUUAAUAUCAUGGAGCAGUUGAAACUUAAGCUUGGCUCUAUUGCUGUCCAUGAUUAUCACUCAAUAUUAUUGCCUCUUGUGAAGUCGUACGUGAGGGUUUGUAUUCAUUGAAAAUUUAUAGGUUGAAACUUUAACUAAUAAUUCUCUUCCCCUAUUUAAUUAAGAUGACAUUUUUUUAUUUA